rnacentral:rRNA from 1 species
UACCUGGUUGAUCCUGCCAGUAUCAUAUGCUUGUCUCA